rnacentral:rRNA from 1 species
UACGUAGGGUGCAAGCGUUAAUCGGAAUUACUGGGCGUAAAGCGUGCGCAGGCGGUUUUGUAAGUUUGUCGUGAAAUCCCCGGGCUCAACCUGGGAAUUGCGAUGAAGACUGCAAGGCUAGAAUCUGGCAGAGGGGGUAGAAUUCCACGUGUAGCAGUGAAAUGCGUAGAGAUGUGGAGGAACACCGAUGGCGAAGGCAGCCCCUGGGUCAAGAUUGACGCUCAUGCACGAAAGGCGUGG